rnacentral:tRNA from 1 species
CUCCCCAUAGCUCAACAGGAUAGAGCGUUCGCCUCCUAAGCGAGUGAUCGGGGUUCGAGUCCUCGUGGGGAGGCCA